rnacentral:lncRNA from 1 species
UCUGAAUAAGAAUUAUACCUGUCCCAACAAUUGCCAAAACAGAGAUGUUAGUGCAUGGAAACUGCCUCUAGAAUUAAGUCAUUUCCAGAAAAAAACCAUUUGAGAAAAGACCCAUCCAUACUAUUAUUUGUUAAUAGAAAACGAUUCCGAUUUUGCAAAUUCAUUUUUUACAUGUGGUCAAUUAUGAUUUCGGCCACAUCAUUAUUUAUUUAUUUUUUAAAAAGAAAAAAAGCCCAAAUAUGUCAUCGAACUUUGAAAAAAGACUCAUUUAUGCCAUUCGUUAAAAAUUUGGCUCGUCUAUGCCAUUUCAAUUAACAAAUAUGGCAUGGAUAAACCUUUUCUCAAACAUAAAUAAUAUAGAUGACUCAAAUUUUUAUCGGACUACAUAAAUGAUCCCCUUUUAUCUCAAAAUUUAAUACUAGCAUGUUUGAGCCUUCUCUUAAUACAAUGCAUUAUUAUAUUAUAUUAUAGACUAAAAAAAGUGUAGGAAGGUACUAAUAUUACAAGUUCACAACCCAGUCCUUACCUGUUAAUUGAUGGAAAAAAGAAAAAGGUGGUAAGUUACCUUAACACUGUUACUCUGUCCCAAUUUAUGUGAUUUACUUUUCUUUUUAGUCAGUCCCAAAAAGAAUGACACAUUUCUAUAUUAAGUAACAAUUUGACUAUAAAAUGUCUAUUUUACCCUUAAUGAAAUGAUUUACAGCCACACAAAUUUCUAUCUUUCAUUUUGGACCACAAAAUUUUAAAAUCUUCCUUUCUUUUUUAAAUUCCGUGCCAAAUCAAAGUACCUCACAUAAAAUGGGACGGAUGGAGUAAGAUUUUUUAAGGGUAAGUGCACUUCACCUAAGUUUUUCAUCUCCGGCAAACAAAAUUUCCCCUUGUUUGUUCAAGAACCCGAUCGUGAUAUCGUUGUUUUCCCCCAAAAUUAUCAAACUGUAAUUUAUAGUUAGUGCAAUCAAAGUAAGAAAAGGAUCUGCGGAAAGGAAUUUUGUUGAAGAAACCGUUGAAUUCUUGCAAUGGAGAUCUUAUAAACCUUUGAGUUCCAUUGUGCAUUGAUGAAGAAGAUCGGUUAAUGACAAAACUUUCAAGUUCUAUUUAUGGGCAAAUGAUAGCAGGGAUUGAAACAAAACAAUUUUUAAGGUACUCUCCAGGUAUCGGCCGUUCAUUAUUGUUCCCAAAUUACUAGUAACUAAAAUUGAUAAAACUUAAUUAGUAUAUUUUGUCUCUUUCCUCUGGAUUAUACCUAAUAUAAUUGUUUUACUAUGUUGACAAAUUAACUAGCGCAGUUUGAUCUUCUUUAGAUAGAAACUCUGAUUUUUAGGGCAAGCAAUAUAGCAAUUGCAAUGCCCCCUAAAAGAAAGAACAAGUGUUUGAGUCACAGGGAGUCUCAAUAAACCUUUCAGAAGAAAGAAAAAAAUAAAAUCCAAUUUGCUUUUCUUUUCCCCCUGUAUGCCCUCCUUAUGUACUGCUGCGUUAUAUCUUUUAUAUUUUGUCCAUUUAUUCAUCUCUUUGUUUUCUGAAUGUUCUGAAGUGAGACAAAAAAAAAUGACUUAGACUCUUACGUUCAAAUGAGAACCGAUAUGUAGUGGUUUUGUGUUAGAGCAUUGUUGAUCUAAACAAAGCAAUUAAAAUAUCACCAUGUGUCAUGUGGCAUUCUGGAUAUGUGUAAUUGCCAAUCUUGUUUUUUAUUAAAGUCAGUGUUGUAAAAAGCCUCGCUUUAAGCUUUGAAGAGAAGCCAGGCGUGGGUCUUGCGCUUCAGAUGGCUCCUUCUCUUCUGCAAUAUCCCUACUGCUUGCAACUUCUUUUUUCUUCUUUCUCUUCUUCUCUUCUCUGUUUCGAUAUUUUAUUUUUUUUCUCGCCUAUCUCCAUUGAAAGUUUAGCACCACAUCUUGUUACACAAUUGACUAGUAAGUUCUCUUCCUUUUCUUAAUUAAUGUCUUUAGUUACGGUAAUAUUAAAGACCUUUAAAUCCAUAAACUAAUCAUACCUGAAACAUACUCCUAAGUAAGGAUGAAUUCCUGGUCACUAGCUCCAUUCAUUCCAUAAUUUCAAAGGAACUAAUGAUCCUCAUUGUUAUUAACUUAUUAUUCUGUGAGUUGCUUGGUGGUUUUUUUUCUGGAAAUGACUUAAUUCUAGAGGCAGUUUCCAUGCACUAACAUCUCUGUUUUGGAAAUUGUUGGGACAGGUAUAAUUCUUAUUCAGAGUGACAGUAAUGGAGCCAACAAAUCCGUAAACUUCAAAAGUCUUGGGUCCCUGAUCUCCAGAAACACCAAAACCUGAAUCUCUGUCGUCUGGGUCUGGAAAGAACACAGUGGCCUUCCUAUUCUUGGAAAAACUCAAGAUCCUCCUAGGGCUAUUAACGGAACGAGGAUCUUCCCAACCUUUAUCUUCCAGCAUCACGAUAUCUAAGAAGGUCCAAAGUGUCACUCUGAAUAAGAAUUAUACCUGUCCCAACAAUUUCCAAAACAGAGAUGUUAGUGCAUGGAAACUGCCUCUAGAAUUAAGUCAUUUCCACUAAAAAACCACCAAGCAACUCACAGAAUAAUAAGUUAAUAACAAUGAGGAUCAUUAGUUCCUUUGAAAUUAUGGAAUGAAUGGAGCUAGUGACCAGGAAUUCAUCCUUACUUAGGAGUAUGUUUCAGGUAUGAUUAGUUUAUGGAUUUAAAGGUCUUUAAUAUUACCGUAACUAAAGACAUUAAUUAAGAAAAGGAAGAGAACUUACUAGUCAAUUGUGUAACAAGAUGUGGUGCUAAACUUUCAAUGGAGAUAGGCGAGAAAAAAAAUAAAAUAUCGAAACAGAGAAGAGAAGAAGAGAAAGAAGAAAAAAGAAGUUGCAAGCAGUAGGGAUAUUGCAGAAGAGAAGGAGCCAUCUGAAGCGCAAGACCCAUGGUGAUAUUUUAAUUGCUUUGUUUAGAUCAACAAUGCUCUAACAGAAAACCACUACAUAUCGGUUCUCAUUUGAACUUAAGAGUCUAAGUCAUUUUUUUCUGUCUCACUUCAGAAAACAAAGAGAUGAAUAAAAUAUAAAAGAUAUAACGCAGCAGCACAUAAGGAGGGCAUACAGGGGAAAAGAAAAGCAAAUUGGAUUUUCUUUCUUCCGAAAGGUUUAUUGAGACUCAAACACUUGUUCUUUCUUUUAGGGGGCAUUGCUAUAUUGCUUGCCCUAAAAUCAGAGUUUCUAUCUACAGAAGAUCAAACUGCGCUACAAUAUUACUACUUAAUAACAUUUCCCUCUAUUCACAUACUUAUAACUAUUAAUACAAUCUCCAAACUGCAGCAAGUCAUUCAAUCUAGCACUGAGGUAAAACCUAAGUAGGUGAGUCCAACCGAGAUGGACCCAUGAUUCACCAUAAUCCCAUAAAUAAAUGGGACUAACAAGGACGAAACAAAUACGACAUAAAAUACCGUUGCAAUCAGA